rnacentral:lncRNA from 1 species
CCACAUAACCAGCCGCCCAACACACCACCAAACCACUUUCAUUUAUUAAUCAUUUACUCCCCCGAAAAUCAUUUAUUUCACUUUUAAUCCUUUUACUUUUUAUUUAUUCAAUCAUUAACUACCACAAACUCCACCCGCCACGUGGCGCUGCCGGGUCCCACCUCCCCCACCUUCCUCCAACCUCCCCGAGCAGACGCGCCGGCUUAACUGUCUGUCACCUUCGCAAACGUCACCACCACACGCAGAGUGUUCGUACUUGCUGCCCACGUGAAAGCCGCACGUGGAGUGACCUCAUUGGUCGGACGUCGCCGUCAGUGUUGCCACUGCAUGGAACUCAUGCACGACCCCUCGAGAAAAGGAGGGAAGAAAUCUUGUUGGUGGAUUCCAGACGACACGAUGUGGUGGGACCCGCUCCUCCAGCUAAAGCGGCCGCCGCGCCUCCCCUCUCACAUGACCCUUUCACACCGUGGGCCCACAAUUAAUUAAUUAAUAUUUUUAUUUAUUUAUUUAUUUAUUAAAUAUAUUAACCGACAUUUUUCUAGAAAUAUUAUAUUUUUUAGCGGCCGUUAAAAACAUAUUUGGACUAAUUUUUCAUAUCUCAAAAUUAAUAUUUUUUUUUAAUAACUUUAGCAAAGCAC